GUCUGAUAAGAAACAAUGUCCAGUAGAUUUACAGCCUUUAAUUUACCGCAACGUUUCAUCCAAUAAAUUUCAAGCCCAAAGUGGAGUUUAAGUCUUUAGUGUAGUAACAAAGGAGGAAUAGGCGUAGCACGUAAGACAUAGACUGGCAACAGUUGAUGAGCGAAGAAGGUGGAACAAAAUAUUCCAUAGGCUCCGACAAGGACAUGAACCAUGGACUCUCGACUGUCCUGAGCUUACAACAGAGGCUAGAGCUACAGUUUAAAAAACGUUGGGAUUUCUUCGUCAUCUUCUUUGGGAUUUUCCGAUAUUUUGGACUCAAACUCGUAUGUAGGUUAAGAGCUGUGGCUUAUUAAUCCAAUUUAAAAACCAGACAAAAAUAUUUCAAAAUUCUUCAAAAAAAUCUGAGGUCUCAAGAACUGGCGCGACCACAGCUCAGUUUUUUCAAAGAAAGACUCUUCAAGUCAAAAUGUUCGCUUCCACGAAUUGCAGAGAGGAGAUAAGGAAACGCAAGAGUCUAUGUUACAUCAAAGUCAGACUGAAAGGUUCGCUGUGUAGUGUUGUUGUUUUUUUGCCGUCAUCAACUUGUCUUAUCUCCCUUGAUUUUUUUUUUCAAUUAAUGCAUACGAUGCAUUUUAAAUGACAGCGUGUUGAGUGAUGUAUCUUUACGAAGAAAUAGAGAUGAUUUGCAACAAAAAUAAAGGUGAAUUAUUAAGUGAAGACGAUAUUAAACCACACCAACACUUUUACUUACUUAGAUACUCCCGCGCCGUUAGGCACAUACGUGCGCCAAGCUGUCUCCAUAAAGAUCUGUCACUGAAGCUUCUUCCACUGCUCUGAGGUCCUCCAUGAAGAUGUGGCACCAAGCUUUACCAGGACUUCCUUGUUUGCACUUUCCUCGUAUUGGCCUCGUAUUGGUCAUUGUAACUCUUGGUAUGCGUAAUUAACACCAACACUAAAGAAUUCAUUCUCGACUGACAAAUGGCCAUUUAGGAAUAAUGUAUGGACAGUCGGAGAUAAUCCUCCUUGGUUCCCUUAUAUUGAGUUGAAAUCGUUUGAUAUUUGAGUCUACCUGUUUAGUCUACUUAAUUAAAUCUCAUAUGGCAGGCGUCUUUUGCUUUUAAAGUAGAGAUGGGAAACGAACCGAGCCCGAACCUCACUUACGACCGAACUGAACCCAAAUUUUAAAACUGAUCAGUACGAACCGAACCCAACGAACUGACUCAAAG
rnacentral:sRNA from 1 species